UCAGAGAGGCCUUCCCCAAACCAAGGUUGAGUUCUGGCCAUGGGUGGAGCGGACAGAACCUGGCCUGCUUGGCCCCUUCUUGCUUCCACAGCAGCUCCAGGGCAUCGCUUCAUAGCCCUAAAUCUGCAGAGGUUUGAAAUCCCCCGUUUUAGGCCAAAGCUAUCAGGUUACCCACAGGAAGACAGAGGCUGGUCUUAUGGGUAUUGUAAUUCUCAUUUUACAGGUGAAGAAAUGAAGACAGAGAAGUUGCAUGUCUUGUUCAAGGUCCGCUGGCAAGUUAGCAGUGAGUCUGGAGAGAGCCUCAAGGGCCCGAUCCCAGUCCUGGCAAAGCCUAAUUCCCUUCCUCUUGAGUGUGAGCUGGACUUAGUGGCUUACAUCUAAUUAAAAGAAUAAAUCAGAAGUGAUGGUGUGCCACUUUGGAGACCACAUUCUCCUGCUUGCUCUCUUGCUGUCUCUUGCAUCACCUGUUGUGGGGGACACCAACUGGCAUGUUGUGGGGAGAGGUCUAUGAAUGAGGAACUGAGGCCUCCAGCCAACAGCCAUGGAGGCAUAUCAUCUUGGAAAAGGAUACCCCGGCCCCAGUUGAACCUUCGGAACACUGCAGCCCCAGCUGACAUCUUGACUGCAAACCCCUGAAAUGCCCUGAGCCAAGACCACCCAGCAAUGCUCUUCUUGGAAGCCCAGACCCCUGCUUGAUGUUUGAGAGGGAGGCACCUCUGGACACAUGCUAGUUCCCUAGAGAUGGAUCCAUUAUGGAAAUAGCCAAUGAAGUUGACAGCAGAAGAGCAGCCGUCAGCACAGCCUUCUGAAGAACCACAAGCCCCAUAUUAAUGCCAGGGUCACCAUCUGGGAGAAGUGACUUCUUUGUAAGACAUGUGGGUAGCGUGGUCCACAGCAGAACUCUAAGGCACCUGAGAAUUCUAAGUUUCAACCUGGCCUCCAGGUCAUUAUGAUGGUAUCAAGGUCAAAGAAUAAGGGGUGCUCACCUGUUCAGGAAGAUGCUGCUGACGUCGUCGUGUGUGAUGGGAGGCUUCUUGGAGCUGGCGGCCAUCCGCAGCG
rnacentral:lncRNA from 1 species